ACAACAGGGAUUGCCCCAGUAACGGCGAGUGAAGCGGCAACAGCUCAAAUUUGAAAUCUGGCUCCUUCGGGGUCCGAGUUGUAAUUUGUAGAAGAUGCUUCGGGUGUGGCCCCGGUCUAAGUUCCUUGGAACAGGGCGUCAUAGAGGGUGAGAAUCCCGUACGUGACUGGCGGCCUCCGCCCAUGUGAAGCUCUUUCGACGAGUCGAGUUGUUUGGGAAUGCAGCUCAAAAUGGGUGGUAAAUUUCAUCUAAAGCUAAAUACUGGCUAGAGACCGAUAGCGCACAAGUAGAGUGAUCGAAAGAUGAAAAGCACUUUGGAAAGAGAGUUAAACAGUACGUGAAAUUGUUGAAAGGGAAGCGCUUGCAACCAGACUUGCGUGCGGUUAAUCAUCUGGUGUUCUCACCGGUGCACUUGACCGCGCUCAGGCCAGCAUCGGUUUCGGUGGCGGGAUAAAGGCCUUGGGAAUGUAGCUCCUCUCGGGGAGUGUUAUAGCCCUCGGUGCCAUGCCGCCUACCGGGACCGAGGACCGCGCUUCGGCUAGGAUGCUGGCGUAAUGGUUGUAAGCGACCCGUCUUGAAACACGGACCAAGGAGUCUAACAUCUAUGCGAGUGUUUGGGUGCCAAACCCAUACGCGUAAUGAAAGUGAACGGAGGUGAGAACCCUGAAGGGUGCAUCAUCGACCGAUCCUGAUGUCUUCGGAUGGAUUUGAGUAAGAGCAUAGCUGUUGGGACCCGAAAGAUGGUGAACUAUGCCUGAAUAGGGUGAAGCCAGAGGAAACUCUGGUGGAGGCUCGCAGCGGUUCUGACGUGCAAAUCGAUCGUCAAAUUUGGGUAUAGGGGCGAAAGACUAAUCGAACCAUCUAGUAGCUGGUUCCUGCCGAAUUUUCCCCUCAGGAA
rnacentral:rRNA from 1 species